GACGAACGCUGGCGGCGUGCUUAACACAUGCAAGUCGAACGAUGAAGCCUAGCUUGCUAGGUGGAUUAGUGGCGAACGGGUGAGUAAUACGUGAGUAACCUACCUUUAACUCUGGGAUAAGCCUGGGAAACUGGGUCUAAUACCGGAUACGACCAAUCUCCGCAUGGGGUGUUGGUGGAAAGCGUUAUGUAGUGGUUAUAGAUGGGCUCACGGCCUAUCAGCUUGUUGGUGAGGUAAAGGCUCACCAAGGCGACGACGGGUAGCCGGCCUGAGAGGGUGACCGGCCACACUGGGACUGAGACACGGCCCAGACUCCUACGGGAGGCAGCAGUGGGGAAUAUUGCACAAUGGGCGCAAGCCUGAUGCAGCGACGCCGCGUGAGGGAUGACGGCCUUCGGGUUGUAAACCUCUGUUAGCANGGAAGAAGAGAGAUUGACGGUACCUGCAGAGAAAGCGCCGGCUAACUACGUGCCAGCAGCCGCGGUAAUACGUAGGGCGCGAGCGUUGUCCGGAAUUAUUGGGCGUAAAGAGCUUGUAGGCGGUUUGUCGCGUCUGCUGUGAAAGGCCGGAGCUUUUCUCCGUGUAUUGCAGUGGGUACGGGCCAAACUAGAGUGCAGUAGGGGAGACUGGAAUUCCUGGUGUAGCAGUGGAAUGCGCAGAUAUCAGGAGGAACACCGAUGGCGAAGGCAGGUCUCUGGGCUGUAACUGACGCUGAGAAGCGAAAGCAUGGGGAGCGAACAGGAUUAGGAUACCCUGGUAGUCCAUGCCGUAAACGUUGGGCACUAGGUGUGGGGAACAUUCCACGUUUUCCGCGCCGUAGCUAACGCAUUAAGUGGCCCCGCCUGGGGAGUACGGCCGCAAGGCUAAAACUCAAAGAAAUUGACGGGGGCCCGCACAAGCGGCGGAGCAUGCGGAUUAAUUCGAUGCAACGCGAAGAACCUUACCAAGGCUUGACAUAUACUGGACCGCAUCAGAGAUGGUGUUUCCCUUCGGGGCUGGUAUACAGGUGGUGCAUGGUUGUCGUCAGCUCGUGUCGUGAGAUGUUGGGUUAAGUCCCGCAACGAGCGCAACCCUCGUUCUAUGUUGCCAGCACGUUAUGGUGGGGACUCAUAGGAGACUGCCGGGGUCAACUCGGAGGAAGGUGGGGAUGACGUCAAAUCAUCAUGCCCCUUAUGUCUUGGGCUUCACGCAUGCUACAAUGGCCGGUACAGAGGGUUGCGAUACUGUGAGGUGGAGCUAAUCCCUAAAAGCCGGUCUCAGUUCGGAUUGGGGUCUGCAACUCGACCCCAUGAAGUCGGAGUCGCUAGUAAUCGCAGAUCAGCAACGCUGCGGUGAAUACGUUCCCGGGCCU
rnacentral:rRNA from 1 species